rnacentral:sRNA from 1 species
AUGGGCAGCAUCGAACAAACAACUGAGAUCCUGUUGUGCCUAUCACCUGUUGAAGUUGCCAAUCUUAAGGAAGGAAUCAAUUUCUUUCGCAAUAAGAGCACUGGCAAAGACUACAUCUUGUACAAGAAUAAGAGCCGACUGAGGGCAUGCAAGAAUAUGUGCAAGCACCAAGGAGGCCUCUUCAUAAAAGAUAUCGAGGAUUUAGCCGGAAGUUGUUGAAAUGGAUGAAAACAACAGACUUUUACUUUUAGAACUGAAUCCUCCUAACCCUUGGGACUUACAGCCCAGAUCUCCUGAAGAGUUGGCUUUUGGAGAAGUCCAGAUAACAUAUCUCACUCAUGCCUGCAUGGACCUCAAGUUAGGAGACAAGAGAAUGGUGUUUGACCCUUGGUUAAUCGGUCCUGCUUUUGCCCGAGGAUGGUGGUUGCUCCAUGAGCCUCCAUCUGAUUGGCUGGAGAGGCUGUGCCAGGCAGACCUCAUUUACAUCAGUCAUCUGCACUCGGACCACCUGAGUUACCCCACAUUGAAAAAGCUUGCUGGGAGAAGACCAGAUAUUCCCAUUUAUGUUGGAAACACAGAAAGGCCUGUAUUUUGGAAUCUGAAUCAGAGCGGUGUCCAGUUGACUAAUAUCAACAUCGUGCCAUUUGGAAUAUGGCAGCAGGUGGACAAAAAUCUUCGAUUCAUGAUCUUGAUGGACGGUGUUCAUCCUGAGAUGGACACUUGCAUUAUUGUGGAGUACAAAGGUCAUAAAAUACUCAAUACAGUGGACUGCACCAGACCCAAUGGGGGAAGACUGCCUAUGAAGGUUGCUCUAAUGAUGAGUGAUUUUGCUGGAGGAGCAUCAGGCUUUCCAAUGACUUUCAGUGGUGGAAAAUUUACGGAGGAAUGGAAAGCCCAAUUCAUUAAAACAGAAAGGAAGAAACUCCUGAACUACAAGGCUCAGCUGGUGAAGAACCUGCAACCCCGAAUUUAUUGUCCCUUUGCUGGGUAUUUUGUGGAAUCUCACCCAUCAGACAAGUACAUCAAGGAAACAAACACCAAAAAUGACCCAAAUGAACUCAACAAUCUUAUCAAGAAAAACUCUGAUGUGAUAACAUGGACCCCUCGACCGGGAGCCACCCUUGAUCUGGCAAGAAUGCUGAAGGAUCCAACAGACAGCAAGGGCAUCGUAGAGCCUCCAGAGGGGACGAAAAUUUACAAGGAUUCCUGGGAUUUUGAACCUUAUUUGGAAAUCUUGAAUGCUGCUGUAGGAGAUGAAAUAUUUCUUCACUCAUCCUGGAUAAAAGAAUACUUCACUUGGGCUGGAUUUAAAGAUUACAACCUUGUGGUCAGGAUGAUUGAGACAGAUGAGGACUUCAAUCCUUUUCCUGGAGGAUAUGACUAUUUGGUUGACUUUCUAGAUUUAUCCUUCCCAAAAGAAAGACCACAACGAGAACAUCCCUAUGAGGAAAUCCAUAGCCGGGUGGAUGUCAUCAGACACGUGGUGAAAAAUGGUCUACUCUGGGACGAGUUGUAUAUAGGAUUCCAAACACGGCUCCAGCGGGAUCCUGACAUAUACCAUCACCUGUUUUGGAAUCAUUUUCAAAUAAAACUCCCCCUCACGCCACCCAACUGGAAGUCAUUCCUGAUGUGCUGUGAGCAGAAUGAGCCUGGGAUUUUGCAAGAAUGCAAAACCACAUGA